GCCAAAUUUCCAUGACCAAACAUUUUGUGUAAUCUCGGGUGUGGACAUGAAAAAAAAUCCACAGGCAUGGCUGCUGCUGAUGUUGGAACACUGGUCAUGUAAAGGUUCCCCAGUACCUGGAGAGAAAUGCAGGACAACAGCACACACUAAAGUCGCCCACGUCUCCGGCCGGCUUCGGUGUAACUCACGUGAGCGAGCAGAGGAAGGGGAGGAAUGUGAAUGCAGAUCCUGUCAUCCUCACCUGGUUGUCUCUCAUUCCCUUCACCUGGUCCUCACACCCUCCUCACCUGCCUCUGGUCACCUCGUUAG